GUUAAGCGACUAAGCGUACACGGUGGAUGCCCUGGCAGUCAGAGGCGAUGAAGGGCGUGCUAAUCUGCGAUAAGCGCCGGUAAGGUGAUAUGAACCGUUAUAACCGGCGAUACCCGAAUGGGGAAACCCAGUGUGACUCGUCACACUAUCAUUAACUGAAUCCAUAGGUUAAUGAGGCGAACCGGGGGAACUGAAACAUCUAAGUACCCCGAGGAAAAGAAAUCAACCGAGAUUCCCCCAGUAGCGGCGAGCGAACGGGGAGGAGCCCAGAGCCUGAAUCAGCAUGUGUGUUAGUGGAAGCGUCUGGAAAGGCGCGCGAUACAGGGUGACAGCC
rnacentral:rRNA from 4 species